ACCUUCCAGAGCCCAGCACAUUUCCUGAGACUGCCAGCCUGGAAGGAGCUGGGGAAGGAGAUGGGUGCCGGGGGAAGAAACUGAGAUCACACUCAGAAGGAUUCAGUAACUCAGGUGUGGGGAAGUCAGGUGCGGCCUCUGGAGAAGAAUGACACCCUCCAAAGCCAAGCUGAUGACGCUGCAUAGACUUGUGGGAGCUGCAGACGACGGGACAAAGAUCCCAAGAGAACAGCUCGUCUGGGGUCAGGAUGCGUGAGCGGGUGCGGCUUCGCAGCACGGAACCACAGUCAGGCUGGUGGCCCGGGGGCGUCUGGGGGACCCCACCCCGGCCCCCAAACCACAGAGCCUCUGGCGGCAAUCCAGAGCGGCAGCAAGGGAGGUUGCAAAGAUGGAUGACCUGACUCGCGAAGGGGCACCCUGCCUGGUCCCUGGCACGGAUGCGGCUGGCGGUAGGCAGUAAGAGCGGCAGAAGGAAGAAAGUUUGAAAUCCAGUUCUCAUUCUCAGAAUGCACACGCAGUGGGGCCGUUCAUGUACCGCUCACACUGUGCGUCAGAUGGAACCAAGGGGGGGCCUCUCCCCCUCUGGGUGCUACAAGCACCGGCAGGCUGAAGCUGGGGGGCCUUGAAGGACAGGGGGGCUUAAAGAGCCAAAGGGAAGGGUCUUCCUCUUCCCCCCCACCCCAGGGGGAAUAGUCUGACAAAGCCUCGGAAGGAGGGGUGCAGGAUGCGUUGAGCAGACUAGCCAGCCGGCUCACGCACACACCCAGGCACGUCCUUGCACACAGGUCCGCACUGACUGUGGUGAUGGCCAUGAACACGAUCACAUCCAAAAUCAAGCUUCUCGCACAAUCAUAAAGUAAUUAACAAGAACUGGGUGCAACACAGCCUCCGGUACGCAUGGUCGCUAACUGUCCUCUCUACUGCUUUUCCACCCUCAUCUGCUCAUCCGAAUGCCCG